rnacentral:rRNA from 1 species
CAGCAGCCACGGUAAUACGAAGGGUGCAAGCGUUACUCGGAAUUACUGGGCGUAAAGCGUGCGUAGGUGGUGGUUUAAGUCCGUUGUGAAAGCCCUGGGCUCAACCUGGGAAUUGCAGUGGAUACUGGGUCACUAGAGUGUGGUAGAGGAUAGUGGAAUUUCCGGUGUAGCAGUGAAAUGCGUAGAGAUCGGAAGGAACAUCUGUGGCGAAGGCGACUAUCUGGGCCAACACUGACACUGAGGCACGAAAGCGUGGGGAGCAAACAGGAUUAGAUAUCCCGGUAGUCCCUGUCUCUUAUAC